rnacentral:rRNA from 1 species
CAUGCAUGCCCGCUCACCCGGGACGCGGCGGACGGCUCAGGACGACGGUUGCACCCCCCGCGGCGGUCCCUGCUAGCCGGACACCGCUGGCAACCCGGCGCCAAGACGUGCGCGCAAGGGCGGGCGCCCGCGGGCGAGCAGCGUGACGCAGCGACGGCCCGCCCGGGCUUCCGGGGCAUCACCCGGUCGGCGCG